rnacentral:sRNA from 1 species
UUUUGCUUUAUGCAAAACUACAUACAAUAAUGCGAUGUUUUGUACCGUAUGUACAAAACUCGGCAGAUAAACAGUGAGGCUGAAUUUCUGCCGAACUGUUUAUCAUAC